AGACUUCAUGGCAUGCUUGGCAUGUAAUUUGAGUCGACUCAGUGGAUGUUUGAGACGACUCAGUAUCAGUGAUAGAAAGUUAAAUUUUUAGAUGCAGAAGACUUAAUUGACCCAGAUUUAGCUUAGUCAAUCAAGACAGGAUCUUAGUCGACUCAGUCAGAAAGUUAGUUGACUCAGUCUCAGAGAACAAUAGCAAGACAGAAAGAUAGAUUUUUAAGCUUUGUCCACUUAGUUGACCAAGUCAAAAUUAAGCUAACCA
rnacentral:lncRNA from 1 species